UUUGACAGAAGUAUUGGCAAAGAUGAGCACCUGGCUGCGGCAUUUUUUCAGAGAGGAGUUACAUUCUACAAAAAGGAAAGGUUUGAAGAGUCUCUUCUGGAUUUCCAGCAGGCGUUCAAGCAGUUACGAGGAAAUCAACUAAUAGAUUACAAACCUCUAGGGCUGAGAUAUAAACUGUAUGCUUGUGAGGUGCUGCACAACAUAGGACUAGUACAGGCUCAGUUGGGAAAAUGGGAGAAAGCUCAAGAGAACCUUCUUACUGCACUAAGCUUGAAGGCAGACGCCAAGUUCAGCCACAUUGACCAUGCUCU